rnacentral:rRNA from 1 species
GGAGUGAACGCUGGCGGUAGGCCUAACACAUGCAAGUCGAACGGCAGCACGGUAAGAGCUUGCUCUUAUGGGUGGCGAGUGGCGGACGGGUGAGGAUACAUCGGAAUCUACCUUUUGGUGGGGGAUAACGUAGGGAAACUUACGCUAAUACCGCAUACGCCCUUCGGGGGAAAGCCGGGGACCAGCAAUGGCCUGGCGCUGAUAGAUGAGCCGAUGUCGGAUUAGCUAGUUGGUGAGUAAUGGCUCACCAAGGCGAACGAUCCGUAGCUGGGUCUGAGAGGAUGAUCAGCCACACUGGAACUGAGACGACGGUCCAGACCUCCGUACGGGAGCAGCGAGUGGGGAAUAGUUGGACAAGUGGGACGCAAGCCUGAUCCACGCCAUACCGGCGUGGGUAGAA